rnacentral:lncRNA from 1 species
UUUUUUUCACCCUUUCCAAAAUUCCUUCUUUAAUUUGUAGCUCGCACAAAAUGUUUUAUCUCGUUUAAGUAAUAUUAUUUUAUUCUUUUCUUUCAUUGCAGUAAUAAUUAUUAAAUGUCAAACUGCAAAAGAUUGUCCAGACAUUUACAACUUGUUUCCUUUAGUUUAUAAGUGCAUUGACAACAUAUGUGUAGAUGUUAGGUUGGAGCCACCUUAUGAUAUGAGUAUCUCACCCAAGAGUGUACACAAAUGACAAACGCCAUGCAAGGAGGAGUGAGUUCUUGCACUAGCAAAAACUCUAUGCAAUAUGCCUUAACACGUGUUGCCAUUUAAAUUUUUACUAGGAUCCAAUAAUUAUAUCUUUUAUAUUUUUUGUUUUUAUAACUUCAUCGAUGUUGAGAUUACGACUCUAUCUAUAGUCUAAGAUGUUGAUAAUAAAAUGAAAUAAGGCAUUAAAUAAUAUUAUAAUUGAAUUGUGAGAUUUGAUAGACUUUGAUGUUUUCCUUGCCAUGCGACUUGUGCAACAAAAGAUGAACUUGGUUUUCUUUCAUCGUCAGGUACUGCAGUAACCACUCCAUAUCUUUGAUAGUGAAUUUCCAUUGCUUAUGAACAAAUUGUCUAGCCAAAAACCAUAAAUAAAACAACAUUGCAAGAGUUGUCUGGUUAGAGAGAAAUUGACAGCGAACAAAACUAAUUGAUUCAAGAAUUUCAAAAUAACAAUUUAUUCAAAAUAACUUUAAAACCAACAUUAAACUGAAACAAACAAACUAAAAAAACUCUAAAACCUAUAUCUAACUAAGAACUAUCAUAUUUUAUUAGUAGCGUAUCUCUUGAAUAUUCUACAAAAAAUUUAAAUAAAUUAAUUACAAUUUAAUGUACAAAUUGUGUAUAUGAGAUAAAUAUUUGUCAUCGAUCAAUUAGCUAAAAGAU